GAGAAGAAGCCCUGGUCGCGGGGCGACCCACGGCAGCUUCGUUCUGCGUCGCGCCGGGGCGGGGCCUUCCGCCCGCGGUUUCCAUGGCGACGGGCGCGUGACGCGCGUGUCGCGGCCAAUCGGUGGCGAGGCGGCUGAGUGACAGCCUGCGGCACCAGUGGCCAGCGGCGCUUUCGGGAGGCCGCCGAAGCUGUCGGGCGGCCGGAUACGGAGCGGCCGCGGCGGGGCCGGCCGAAAGUGCUGCCGUGGAAGGCCUUUGGAGGAACGUAGGAUUCCAGAGACGGAAAAUCUGACCGCCUGGUUCUUCUGUUUGUCUAGUGAAAUUACUUUGGACAAGAAGAUAAUUUGGUUCAGUGUAAGUGUAGAAGAAAGGACUGGAGCCCCAUUUACUGAUUGUAAAGGGUAUGAAAAUACCACCAGCAGCUGCAUGUGCCUUCAGGGUUAGAGGCCUCUUGAGGACAUACUUUGCUGCAAGUUAUCCGGCCUCUCCUAGCAAAGAUCUUACAGUCAUUUUAUGGGUUUUAAGAAAACAAGCUGCUGUUGGGAUUGAUGCUAAAAAGGAGAGAAGGCCAGAGGAAUACUGA
rnacentral:lncRNA from 14 species